AGCCAGGGAGACAGAUGGAGCAACCCGUCCCGAGAAGGCACAUGGUGCUGCUGCUCCCAGGCCCACGUCUGCAGGAGGGAAUCAGAGACUUGGGACGGAGGGCUGGAAGCUGACAGAGGGGAUGAGAUCCAGGACGUUGAUUCCGAGGAACUGGCGUGUGCAACUCUGGAGGUCGGCUAGGCGAGUACAAAAUCUGUAGGUC
rnacentral:lncRNA from 1 species